AACCGCAAACUUUUUUUCAUUGUCAUUUUUACUAUACGCUAAAAUAGUAGCAAAGAGCAUGAUAUAUGACUAUUCACCAUCUGUAUUGUAUAAAUUACUAGACAACAAAGACUACGACUUGACUAAACUAUUUGUAUUUAUGACUUUUCUGGCAUGGUCAUACUGACAAUGGUAGUCAUCUCAAAUAUAAGAACAAAUAGUUAAACUCACAAUUUCUAGUAAGGUGAAAUUGCUCUUGAGCCUUGAUAUAUGAGAAGCGAAAUAGUUAUUGCUACCAUGUGAAUAUGUUCACAGUAUAAUAAUGUCACCAUAAAUAGAUACAUGGUUUGAUAGACGAUUAUGAAGUUUGAAAACACUAUUCAUGUAGUCCAUAUCAACAGAAUUUAUGUAGUAAUCACAUUAUCGUGUAUUUUUUGUUUUUUAACCGACUAUGUAUUUCAUUUGUGCUGACUAUACAAAUUGUCAAUAAACGAAUGUUCUAUGUUAUUGUCACAUAAAGUUACAAUAUAACAGAAAAUUUCGUACGUGGGUAACACAUCAGUGAUUGAUAUGAAAAAAAUAUUUUAUAUGACGACUUUGUGUAAUUUGGUAGGUCUUGCAGUAAAAUCAACGUCUCGUAUACGAUUUAUUAUUCAUUAUCGGUCGCUGUAGAAAUAACAUCCAACAUAUCGCAGGAAAAAUUCCACCGGACAUCAGAGCCUUUGAUCAACUGCUGCUACCAAACAAUGCUCCUCAGUGUCCACGUUGCUAUUCAACAUUCCACUAGGCAUGUCAUUAUUUAAUAUGAUGUGAAAAUAAAAUAAAAUACCAUGAAACUAUUUUGUUGUUCUUGUUCUAGAAUUCAAAUUCAUAAAACUUUUUAACAUUAGCUCAUGUUCUGCUGAUCUUCAGCAUUGUUGAAACAACCACUGCCUUUAGUUUCGAAAUAACUAGAAGUGAAAUGUUAAAAAUACCAUGGCUCUGGUUAUAGCGAAAACUACAAUGUAAAUAAAGAUUCGGUCAUGGUUAGCCUAACCAUCUCAAUCGUAUUAGUUAUUCAUACAAUAUACUGUUCAAUAUUACUAUUCUAGAGCCGAUACCAUUUAUAGUAAACAUGAACUUGACUAUUGUUGAAAUCAUCUGAUUUAAUAGUCGGCGGAAAACCACUAUACUCGCAUGGUCAGGUUGGCCCUCUAU